AACGAACGCUGGCGGCAGGCCUAACACAUGCAAGUCGAGCGCCCCGCAAGGGGAGCGGCGGACGGGUGAGUAACGCGUGGGAACGUACCCUUUGCUACGUAAUAGCCUCGGGAAACUGGGAGUAAUACCGUAUGUGUCCUUCGGGAGAAAGAUUUAUCGGCAAGGGAUCGGCCCGCGUUGGAUUAGGUAGUUGGUGGGGUAAUGGCCUACCAAGCCGACGAUCCAUAGCUGGUUUGAGAGGAUGAUCAGCCACACUGGGACUGAGACACGGCCCAGACUCCUACGGGAGGCAGCAGUGGGGAAUCUUAGACAAUGGGCGCAAGCCUGAUCUAGCCAUGCCGCGUGAGCGAUGAAGGCCUUAGGGUUGUAAAGCUCUUUCAGGGGGGAAGAUAAUGACUGUACCCCCAGAAGAAGCCCCGGCUAACUCCGUG
rnacentral:rRNA from 1 species